UACAAGCGAGCGGCGGACGGGUGAGUAAUGCCUGGGAAUUUGCCCAUUUGUGGGGGAUAACAGUUGGAAACGACUGCUAAUACCGCAUACGCCCUACGGGGGAAAGCAGGGGACCUUCGGGCCUUGCGCUGAUGGAUAAGCCCAGGUGGGAUUAGCUAGUAGGUGAGGUAAAGGCUCACCUAGGCGACGAUCCCUAGCUGGUCUGAGAGGAUGAUCAGCCACACUGGGACUGAGACACGGCCCAGACUCC
rnacentral:rRNA from 1 species